AAACGAAACAUAGCUUAAUUAAAGCAUCUCGCUUACACCGAAAAGACAUCCGUUAAACCCAGAUUGUUUCGAG
rnacentral:tRNA from 1 species